rnacentral:rRNA from 1 species
CAGGAUGAACGCUAGCGGCAGGCUUAAUACAUGCAAGUCGAGGGGCAGCAUGGUGUAGCAAUACACUGAUGGCGACCGGCAAACGGGUGCGGAACACGUACAGAACCUUCCUUCGAGCGGGGAAUAGCCCAGAGAAAUUUGGAUUAAUACCCCAUAGUAUACCAGAGUGGCAUCACUUUGUUAUUAAAGAUUUAUCACUUGAAGAUGGCUGUGCGGCUGAUUAGGUAGUUGGCGGGGUAACGGCCCACCAAGCCUGCGAUCAGUAACUGGUGUGAGAGCACGACCAGUCACACGGGCACUGAGACACGGGCCCGACUCCUACGGGAGGCAGCAGUAAGGAAUAUUGGUCAAUGGACGAAAGUCUGAACCAGCCAUGCCGCGUGGAGGAUGAAGGUCCUCUGGAUUGUAAACUUCUUUUAUCUGGGACGAAAAAAGGUCUUUCUAGACCGUCUGACGGUACCAGAUGAAUAAGCACCGGCUAACUCCGUGCCAGCAGCCGCGGUAAUACGGAGGGUGCAAGCGUUAUCCGGAUUCACUGGGUUUAAAGGGUGCGUAGGUGGGUUGGUAAGUCAGUGGUGAAAUCUUCGAGCUUAACUCGGAAACUGCCAUUGAUACUAUCAGUCUUGAAUAUUGUGGAGGUUAGCGGAAUAUGUCAUGUAGCGGUGAAAUGCUUAGAUAUGACAUAGAACACCAAUUGCGAAGGCAGCUGGCUACACAUAUAUUGACACUGAGGCACGAAAGCGUGGGGAUCAAACAGGAUUAGAUACCCUGGUAGUCCACGCCCUAAACUAUGGAUACUCGACAUACGCGAUACACUGUGUGUGUCUGAGCGAAAGCAUUAAGUAUCCCACCUGGGAAGUACGAUCGCAAGAUUG